CUGCUUCUUCAUCUCAGGUGCUAUCUUGCUUUUUAUCACAAUCUAUUUGCAUGAUAUCUUGGAUUAACUGUGUUAUGUUGAGGUGAGAAGAUCCCCCCGUUUCAACAGCCUUCUCUGCCAUUUCUCCAAGUUUCUUGGCUCUCUUUCUCCUCUCUUCUCCUUCCUCUCCUCCAUCCAUCAACCUCUCUAUAGACUCUUCAACAUCUCUCUUCUUUACUAGCACUCCAACCUUCUCUUCUUCCGCCCACCUCACGGGCUCCUCGACUCCAACCUUCACACCAGCUUUAAGUAUUUGUACUGCCAUUUUCUCAUUGGCAAACUGGUCUGCAAAUAGUGGCCACGUUAUCAAUGGCACACCGGCAGAGAUGCCUUCAAUUGUGGAAUUCCAGCCACAAUGAGUUAGGAACCCUCCAAUUGCAGGAUGUGACUAUAUUAGUACUUGUGGAGCCCAACCCCGGAUCACAAGGCCUCUUCCUUUUGUUCUUUCCUCAAAACCAUCCUCUGAAAUCCACUUCUCUACUUCUUUUGACGGAUCACUUCCUCUUAUAACCCAAAUAAAUGGUCUAUUCGAUGCCUCUAAACCUAAACCGAGCUCUAUUGAUUGUGAGGGUAUCACAUUAGAGAGGCCUCCGAGGCAGGCAUAGACUACAGAACCAGGUUUUUGAGAAUCAAGCCAUCUCAGGCGUCGGUGUUCUUCUACCGAGGCCUUGUUACCUCUCUCAGCCUUAUCCGAGGCAUCCUUGUUACAUAGUGAAACUGGACCAAUGCACCAUGCUUUGUUUCCUCUUACCUUCCUGUAUUCCUUGACAUAUUCCGGCUCCAUCUCUUCAAAAGUAUUUAUGACUACGCCAUAGGAUGCUAGAUCGGCCUUCCUCCUUUCCUCGGAAAAUUCUUUCAGGUUUCCAUACAUAACUUCCGGAAUCUGGGCUUUAGUAAAUUCAGCUGUGUCAGGCAUGUUAGGCACAACAAAGUACUCUGACUCCGAGGUUACACGCUCAAGGAUCUUGGAGACGCGUAAAUUAUGGAGGCAAAGAAGAAGAAAGCAACAAACACCAUGGAACACAAUCCUUGGAAUCUGAAACCGGUUAGCAAUGUCGAGUGUAUAUGACAAGAAGACAUCCGAUAUGAUACAACUUGGCCGUGGCAUUAGCUCCUCAAACAAUUUUUGUACCGGCUUUUUUAGCAUGUUGGCUGCUUGAAAGAAAUUCAAGGCUAAGCUAAACGAAGGCAGCAUAUCGAAGUUCUCACACCCUUCGGGCAAUCCUGAUUCUGCACAUGGAAACCGGAAUUCAACUAAACGGAUAGAGAGCCCUGAUUCUAUGGCACGAUCAAGGAUUGACUUGAACCUGGCUGCAUUAUGAGGAGUUGUAACUAUGGUUACGAUCACGCCUUGCUGUGCCAAUAACCUAGCAAUGUCUAUCAUAGGGGUCAUAUGGCCUUAAGCCAUGAAGGGAAACAGGACAAAGUGAAGCUGCUCGACUUGAGUAGCCAUGGCAACUGUUACUACUAAACUAUAAGCUUCAAUCACUCAACUUUUAACAGAAAUUAAGCGUAGACCAAAAAUGAUAUGGAAAAACCAUGCUUUAACUUGUGUACAUUUUAGUAUAAAAGAAACUCUAGGGUUGCUUUCAUGGUGACGUAAGAGCAUACAUAAGCAUUUUCGAUUAUCUGGGAAAAAUGAAAUUCGGUGGACAAUGUUCAGCACAUGCGUUUGGAAAAAUGUACAUGGCAUUGUUUGACUCUCUUGGCUCUCCAAAAUGGAUCACCAUGGAAAGAAGAUAGAAAUCAAUUAGCAUUCAAAGAACACUUUUUGUUGGUUUUUUUUUUCAAAAAAGAAAAAAAAAACAAAAUCUUAUGCAACUUUUAGGUAUAGGUACAAGAAUACAAGUUAAUUUGUAUCUCAUGGCUAUCCCUUCUCUUUAGAGGACAGUAACACAAACUUUUUUUGUACAUCUUGCAGCUCUGUUCUGAUGUAUGUUGUCAAUUAUUUAUCUGGUAUUUGUAUUCAUCUCUCUUACUAUCCAAUGAACAUGCAUAUGGAAUUGAUGACCAGGAAAAACUGGUAUUUUCCAAAUUAAUCUAAAACAACAUUACAAUGGAGAUAAGUCCUGCUUCUUCAUCUCAGGUGCUAGGCUGCUUCCUAUCAUAUGCUCUUUGCAUGAUAUCCUGAAUUAACUGUGUAAUGUUGAGGUGAGAAGAUCCCCCUGUUUCAACAGCCUUCUUUGCCAUUUCUCCAAGUUUCUUGGCUCUCUUUCUUCUCUCUUCUCCUUCCUCUCCUCCAUCCAUCAACCUCUCUAUAGCCUUUUUAACAUCGUUCUUCUUUACCAACACUCCAACCUUCUCUUCU
rnacentral:lncRNA from 1 species